rnacentral:misc_RNA from 1 species
AUGCGAUAAGUAAUGUGAAUUGCAGAGCACAGUGAAUCAUCGAAUCUUUGAACGCACAUGGCGCCCGCUGGUAAUCCGGCGGGCAUGCCUGUCCGAGCGUCAUUUCAACCCUCAGAACCCCUCUCUCGGGAGGGCGUUACUGGUGUUGGGGAUCGAGCGCCCCCCGCGGCGCCCGUCCCUUAAAUCUAUUGGCGGCUCCGGAGUCUGUCUCCCCUGCGUAGUAUUGCAUCUCGCUUUGGUGACGUCUUCGGGCUGCUGUGGCUCUGCCACAAAACCCCCACUAGGUUGACCUCGGAUCAGGUAGGGAUACCCGCUGAACUUAA